UGGAUUUUCGUAUGUUAUCUGGAUAUGACCAGGCACACAACUCAGUCACACAGUCUUGCAGUCAGGCACAUCGUCAAGAAGCAGGGAUUGAUUAUACUGCAGAUCUAUAAAAUACUUGGGCUGCUGGAGAUGCUUUAAUUCGGAUGAACCAAUGGCCCAGCCACUCUCUCAGAUGGAGCUGAAUGAUCCUGUGGCACUAAUAGAAGAAUAGUAGAGGAGUUUUUUCUCUCUUGGGUGAGGGUGUAGCUGGCUAGGCAACAUUUGUUGCCGAUCUCUAAUUUCCCAGGGGGCAGUUAAGAGUCAACCGUAUUGCUGUGGAUCUGGAGUCAAAUGUAGUCUAGACCAGAAGCUGGCAUAAAUCAAUCACAAAGGAUCAACAUGAAGACUUUUACUGGGACAGAAGAGGUCAUUUUUCCAGGCCUCCCGGCUCAGAGGUAGGGACACUAACACUACGCUGCAAGAGUCCAACUGCCGAACAUAUCCUUGUAAAUCCAAAGAACCAGAAGAAUCAUGACGUCCAGCUCAUUCAAUUCCUAUCUAACCCCAAAUAGCGUGCAGCCUGCAAUUAUCAGGAUUUAUAUAAAUCCAUAGUCGAUAUUUGCUAGCUCCUGAGAAGAAAUAUUAAUGUUGAGAAUAUAUAAAAUAAUAUUCGAAACAGCAUUUACAUAGAGCUGUAGAGAUGUACAGCGCAGAAACACACCCUUCGGCCCAAGUCGUCCAUGCCGACCAGAUAUCCCAUAUAAAUCUAGUCCCAUUUUCCAGCAUUUGGCCAAUAUCCCUCGGAACCCUUCCUAUUCACAUAUCCAUCCAGAUGUUUUUUAAGUGUUAUAAUUGUACCCGCCUCCACGACUUCCUCUGGCACCUCAUUGCAUACACGCACCACCCUCAAAAUGAAAACAUUGCCCCUUUGGUCCCUUUUGAAAUGUCCUUUCUCAAGUUAAACCUAUGCUCUCUAGUUUUGGACUUCCCCACCCCAGGGAAAAGGCCUUCUCUAUUUACCGUAACCAUGCCCUUCAUGAUUUUAUAAACAUCCAAAAGGUCACCCAUCAGUCUCCGACUCCAGGGAAAAUAGCCCCGGCCUAUUCAGCCUCUUCCUGUAGCUCAAACCUGGCAACAUCCUUGUAAAUCUUUUCUGAACCCUUUCAAGGUUCACAACAUCUUUCCUAUAGCAGCGAGAAUCGCAUGAAGAAUUCCAAAAGUGGCCUAAUCAAUGCCAUGUACAGCUGCAACAUGACCCCCAACUCCUAUACUCAACGACCAAUAAAGGCAACUGCACCAAACACCUUCCUCAUGAUCCUAUUUACCUGCGAUUCCACUUUCAUGGAACUGUGAACCUGCACUCCAAGGUCUCUUUGUUCAGCAACACUCCCCAGACCUUACCAUUAAGUAUUAAAGUCCUGAAUGAAAACAAGGUUGCUGGAAAAGCUCAGCAGGUCUAGCAGCAUCUGUGAAGGAGAAAACAGAGUUAACAUUUUGGUCCGGUGACCCUUCCUCAGGACUGAUGGUGGCUGAGAAAACGUCAGUUCAUAUGCAAAAAAUAGGGAGGUGGGUGGAGCAGGGAGUAAACAAUAGGAUGGAGCCCAAAGAGAGAGAAAGACAGUUGGACGGACAAAAGAGUUGCUAACGAUCACGCUGGGAGGGUGAAUAGUUGUUAAUGAGGACUGUUAGUGGCUAACAACAGGGGGUGUGUAACGGCAGGCUAUGUGAUAACAAGGCCUGGUGUUUGGGGUGGGGGCUGGGACAUGGGAGAGUUUAGCCCCUAAAAUUAUUGAACUCAAUAUUGAGUCCAGAGGGCUGUAGGUUCCCCAAGCGGAAAAUGAGGUGUUGUUCUUCCAGCUUGCGCUGGGCUUCACUGGAACAUUGCAGCAAGCCAGAGACAGAGAUGCUGGCCAGGGAGCAAGGUGGUGCAUUGAAAUGGCAGGCAACAGGUAGUUCAGGAUCUUCCUUGCUAGCAGUACAUGGAUGUUGCCUGCCAUUUCAAUGCACCACCCUGCUCCCAUUAGCAGAUGCUACAUUAACGUUUCGGGUCCAGUGACCCUUCCUCAGAACUGAUGGUGGCUGGGAAAAUAUUGGUUUGUAUACAGAAAAUACAGAGGGGUAUGGGGUAGGGAGUAAAUGAUAAGAUAGAGCCCAAAGAUGAAGAAGAGCAGUUGGACAGACAAAAGAGGAUGAAUAGUUGUUAAUGGGGACUGUUAGUAACUAACAAUAGGCAGUGUGUAGUGGCAGGUGAUGUGAUAACAAGGUCUGGUGUGUGGGGUAGGGGCCUAGGACAUAGGAGAGUUAGGCUCUAGGGCCUAGACUCUCAGGUUACUGGACCCGAAACAUUAACUCUGAUUUUCUUCACAGAUGCUGCUAGAUCUGCUGAGCUUCAGCAAUCUCUAUUUCUGAAGAAGGGUCCUGGCCUGAAACGUCAGCUUUCCUGCUUUCUGAUGCUGCCUGGCCUACUAUGUUCCUCCAGCUCCAUGCUGCGUUAUCUCUGACUCCAGCAUCGGCAUUUCUUACUAUCUCUGUUUUUGUUCUUGAUUUACAGCGCCCGCAGUUUGUUGGUUUUUGAUUAAUAUAGUAAUCUCACUGUAAUUUUCCCAGUACAUUCUGACCUAAUGUUGACAAUUACUGUGGUCAGUACUGUGUAUUAUUUGUUCCACUAGAGAGCAGGAAUUUAAAGACAUGAUGAGUUUUAAACAAUAAAAACCACUCUCUACUGAUACCAUUUCCAACCUUAAAGACAGUUCAUUUUAUCGAUACACUGUAAAAUACUUGAAAGUUUGAAAUUUCCUUCAGUAACAGCACCUCCAGCAAAUGCCUAGAAGUAAUGGCUGUAAUUUUGAUCUGUGAAUAUUUAAUGGUGACAGUAUGGAAUCCCUUGUUUUAAUAGAGUUAUCAAUUCUUUUAUUUGUUUUAUUUCCCCUAAUUUGGGUCCUGCGAUUUCACUGUUAUCAAUCCCUCAUUUAGAAGAAUUGCUAAACAACUGUCAAUCUCUGAUCCACAAGUACACUGCCCUGCAAAUCUUUUUUUCUUUCUUUCCUCCUGAGCUUCAGGAUUGACAAUUCUGAAAUCCUUCUGCCUCCUCCCAAUUCCCUCUGCUGCAUUCAAGGUUCAAUAAUACAUUAAAACUGGAUAAAGCCAUCUAGUGGCUGUAAAAACCACAUCCUCAUGAAAAUGCCCAACAGUUUUGAAUAAACAUUUGAAAUAAGCUUCCGUGUGUCACCUGGCAAUUGCUAUUAAA